AGCAUUCUCUGGUGUUGAAGGCCCUGCAAAGCAGCAUCGCGGUGGCGGAGCGUCGUUUGCGACGCCCAACACACAAAACAAGCGGUGAGUGCUUUGGGGUGGGGUGACUGCGUACCUUUUGUAUAAUGGGUCAGCGACUUAUAUUCUGUAGCAAGGUUAACCGAAUAGGGGAGCCGGAGGGAAACCGAGUCUUAAUUGGGCGUUAAGUUGCAGGGUAUAGACCCGAAACCCGGUGAUCUAGCCAUGGGCAGGUUGAAGGUUGGGUAACACUAACUGGAGGACCGAACCGACUAAUGUUGAAAAAUUAGCGGAUGACCUGUGGCUGGGGGUGAAAGGCCAAUCAAACCGGGAGAUAGCUGGUUCUCCCCGAAAGCUAUUUAGGUAGCGCCUCGUGAAUUCAUCUCCGGGGGUAGAGCACUGUUUCGGCUAGGGGGCCAUCCCGGCUUACCAACCCGAUGCAAACUGCGAAUACCGGAGAAUGUUAUCACGGGAGACACACGGCGGGUGCUAACGUCCGUCGUGAAGAGGGAAACAACCCAGACCGCCAGCUAAGGUCCCAAAGUCAUGGUUAAGUGGGAAACGAUGUGGGAAGGCCCAGACAGCCAGGAUGUUGGCUUAGAAGCAGCCAUCAUUUAAAGAAAGCGUAAUAGCUCACUGGUCGAGUCGGCCUGCGCGGAAGAUGUAACGGGGCUAAACCAUGCACCGAAGCUGCGGCAGCGACACUGUGUGUUGUUGGGUAGGGGAGCGUUCUGUAAGCCUGUGAAGGUGGCCUGUG
rnacentral:rRNA from 1 species